rnacentral:rRNA from 1 species
CAAGUGGCGGACGGGUGAGUACACGUAAGAUUUGCCUUUAGGAGGGGGACAACAAUUGGAAACGAUUGCUAAUACCCCAUAUGCUUUCGAGUAAAAUGGAUUUUUCCGCCUAAAGAGAAGCUUGCGGCUGAUUAGCUUGUUGGUGAGGUAAUGGCUCACCAAGGCGACGAUCAGUAUCUGGUUUGAGAGGACGAUCAGACACACUGGAACUGAGACACGGUCCAGACUCCUACGGGAGGCAGCAGUGGGGAAUUUUCCGCAAUGGGCGAAAGCCUGACGGAGCAAUCUCGCGUGAGGGAUGACUGCCUAUGGGUUGUAAACCUCUUUUUUCAGGGAGGAAUAAAUGACGUGUACCUGAAGAAUAAGCAUCGGCUAACUCCGUGCCAGCAGCCGCGGUAAGACGGAGGAUGCAAGUGUUAUCCGGAAUCACUGGGCGUAAAGCGUCUGUAGGUGGUUUAAUAAAGUCAACUGUUAAAUCUUGAAAGCUCAAGUUCAAAACCGCAAGUCGAAACUAUUAGACUAGAGUAUAGUAGGGGUAAAGGGAAUUUCCAGUGGAGCGGUGAAAUGCGUAGAGAUUGG